GGGGCAGCAUGAUUUGUGCUUGCACAGAUUGAUGGCGACCGGCGCACGGGUGAGUAACGCGUAUCCAACCUUCCCUAUAGUAGGGGAUAGCCCGGCGAAAGUCGGAUUAAUACCCUAUGUUCUUCGAUGCGGGCAUCUAAGUUGAAGCAAAGGCUUGCCGCUAUAGGAUGGGGAUGCGUCUGAUUAGGCAGCAGGCGGGGUGACGGCCCACCUGGCCGACGAUCAGUAGGGGUUCUGAGAGGAAGGUCCCCCACAUUGGUACUGAGACACGGACCAAACUCCUACGGGAGGCAGCAGUGAGGAAUAUUGGUCAAUGGGCGAGAGCCUGAACCAGCCAAGUAGCGUGCAGGGCGACUGCCCUAUGGGUUGUAAACUGCUUUUGUGCGGGAAUAAAGUGAGGCACGUGUGCCUUUUUGCAUGUACCGCACGAAUUAGGACCGGCUAAUUCCGUGCCAGCAGCCGCGGUAAUACGGAAGGUCCGGGCGUUAUCCGGAUUUAUUGGGUUUAAAGGGAGCGCAGGCUGGGGAUUAAGCGUGCUGUGA
rnacentral:rRNA from 1 species